rnacentral:rRNA from 1 species
UACGUAGGGGGCAAGCGUUAUCCCGAAUUACUGGGUGUAAAGGGAGCGUAGACGGUAAUGUAAGUCUGGAGUGAAAGGCGGGGGCCCAACCCCCGGACUGCUCUGGAAACUAUGUUACUAGAGUGCAGGAGAGGUAAGCGGAAUUCCUAGUGUAGCGGUGAAAUGCGUAGAUAUUAGGAGGAACACCAGUGGCGAAGGCGGCUUACUGGACUGUAACUGACGUUGAGGCUCGAAAGCGUGGGGAGCAAACAGG